rnacentral:lncRNA from 1 species
CUCACUUGGCUUUGGUACGAUGACUGGAAUUAUCAAUGUUGAACUGUUGCCCAGGAAACCUACUUGAGUUGACUUUCCAUGGGGAUUUGCCUGCUGUCACAUUCUCCCUUCAUUCGAGGACUACACUAAGUCUGAUACAAGAAGUCCUGAGUUCUGGCACAACACAGAUGGACAGGGAUUUUUUUAGUAAUCCCUGUACACAGGCACAUCUUUUCUGCACUGAGACAACCAGCAUCGGCCAUCGAGGAGGUGCCCCUUCAGUUAAAUGGCCAACAGACUAUGCAAGAAAUCAAGAUCUAAGUCAUUCCAAUGUGGAGAAAAUCUGGAGCUCUGGAAAGGCUAUCAUUUCAAGCUUUCUCACAGGAUGCUGA